rnacentral:snRNA from 1 species
UGAAAGGAAAUUGUAAAUGUGGU